rnacentral:misc_RNA from 1 species
UCCCUGGAGCCGCUCCACUGACGGCA